rnacentral:rRNA from 1 species
UGAGUAACGGCGAGCGAAAGGGAGAGUCCAGCGCCGAAUCCCGCACUAUUGUGGUGCUGGGAAAUGUGGCGUUUGGGAGUGAGCGUACCGGCGGUCGAACCGGCAGCAAGUCCCCCUGACCGGGGCUCUUUCCCAAAGUGGGUGCCAGGCCCAUAGCUGCAGGAUCGCUGCCGGUUGCGAUCUCCUUGGAGUCGGGUUGUUUGGGAGUGCAGCCCUAAUCGGGAGGUAAACUCCUCCUAAGACUAAAUACCGCCGUGAGACCGAUAGCAAACAAGUACCGUGAGGGAAAGUUGCAAAGAACUUUGAAGAGAGAGUUCAAGAGUACGUGAAACUGCUCAGAGGAAAACGGGUGGGCCCUCGAAAUCCUGUGGCGGGAGGAUUCAGUCGAGCGGAACGGAGGAGCGUGCCUUUAGAAAUCAGAGUGGGACCCUUCCCGGGCCAAUAGGUGCGCUACCGAUUCCGAUCCAUCGACGCAUUUCUUUCCCGCCCGAAGGACGCCGCAACCGGUUGGCGGAGCGSCCUUGAGUGUGCAUGCCGGCAGUUGGCCGGUGGUACCGUUUAGUUACGGUUGUCCGCCGGUUGUUAGCCUUUGCGCWCGGGCCGAGCCCCGACCGUGGUCACAGGGGCCCUUGAUGGGCCCGAGUC